UACGGGGGGAGCAAGCGUUGUUCGGAUUUACUGGGCGUAAAGGGCGCGUAGGCGGUCAGCACAAGUCAGUUGUGAAAUCUCCGGGCUUAACCCGGAAAGGUCAACUGAUACUGUGCGACUAGAGUGCGGAAGGGGCAACUGGAAUUCUCGGUGUAGCGGUGAAAUGCGUAGAUAUCGAGAGGAACACCUGCGGCGAAGGCGGCAUCCUGGACCGAUACUGACGCUGAGGAGCGAAAGCCAGGGGAGCAAACGGG
rnacentral:rRNA from 1 species